UUGGGAGAUAUAAAAUGGAAAAAAAUAAAUAAACAAAUAAAGAAAAGGGCAAAAGCGGUGGAGAAAGGGAAAAACAGUGAAAGCAGAAGCCGCGAGAGAAGCAGAAAGAAUGGCGUGGAUAUGGUUGGAAGCUGCACUUCCCCUUGGAAUCAUAGCAGGGAUGCUCUGCGUUAUGGGCAAUGCUCAGUAUUACAUCCACAAAGCUUAUCAUGGCCGGCCCAAGCACAUCGGGAACGAUAUGUGGGACGUUGCCAUGGAAAGAAGGGACAAAAGGCUCUUGGAAAACUUUUCUGCCUCUUCCUCAAAUUGAUCUCUUUUUACUACGGGAAAUCUUACUGUCUCUACCCACAAGGCCAGCAUUUGUUUUGAAAUAUUACAUCUUCAUUUAUGAAACUUGGCCAAUGGAGUGAGGAAGAAGAAAUAAAAGUGCUCUAUGGCAUUCUGUUUUGAAGAAGACUCAAGAGCAACUGGACUUAUUAUUUUUCUUCUUUGUGAUAUGAAUUUGCAUAAACUAUUAAAAUCUUGCACUUUUUGACAA